CGCAGUAGCAGCACACGGGACCGAAAUGGCGUAACGCGCAGUCGAGCGCCGCAGCAGCGCAGAGGGGCCAGGCUCAGCGAACACCUCAGAGCCUGGCCCGAACAGAUCCAACCAGCAGAAUUAAUGAAAAUGACCCUUCGCUCCAGUCCACGUUUCCAAACCAGCACGAGAUCACCGCAGACGUGCCCCUCAUUCUUCAUAUCAAGAAGAGAAAGGAACAGUCCUGAAGGGAACACACGACCAGAUGAGACCAUCUUGUCUUUGUUCUUCAAACCGCCCUUCAUCUUGAUAAGUUGACCUUCCUCCAGCGUUAUUUCAGGGAAGUGUUUGUUCAGCAUACCAAGUGCCACUGGUCUAUGAACAUAUCAUCUCUGCACUUUGGAGAAGACAACUGAAUUUGUUUUUGUUCACAUAAACCCCCCACAAACUCUUCUUGUGUCUAAAAAAGCUAAAUGACAACACAAUUGUGCCACAUCAUGGUGCCAUAAACUAGUCAUAUUGUUCCAGAUAAAUCAAAUAUGAUUGCAGUUUGUGUAAAUGGAAUUUAAAAAGGCAGAAAAUAAAUGCACAUUUAAAAACGAAAUCAUGCAAGCAAGAAGGAGCUACAUCCAACAGUUUUAUUAUCUGCAGAUUAAGUGCCUAGACAAGUCUCUUUUUAACAGCUCCUGUCUCAAUUUCCAUGGCUUGGCUUUAAAGUAAAGCGCUUCUUUGGACAUUCUAGUCUUUCAAAUGGCUGAAAAUUUAAUUUCUGAGACAACCAACUGUAGACAGAUAGCUGUUCUCUUAAUUCACAACUCGUAUUGGUGCUUUAGCAAAACCAUGACCCCAUGCUUUCAUGUUUUCUACUUGUACCGACAAACCAAGACAGACAGUGGCAUAAUGACCCAAAAAACAUAAGCUUUAUCAAUCCCACAGUUAAACCUUUCUAGCGGGGGUGCUAUUGAGAUGCAGGAUGUUAUGAAAUAUAGUUAUUUUACUACCUCAGAAGUUACCACAGCUCAGAGCCACACUCGGAUCAAACUAUAAGAGCAUGCUUGUCUUUUUUUGUUUGCAGUAAAAUAAAUAUAGUCGUUAUAGUCUGUCAAAUGGCUUGGUAAUUCGAUGGGAAGAGGAAUUAAUUUUUCUUUUGUAUGUUUGUGUGGAAUAUCUUAAUGAGACUGUAUGUUCUCCGGGAUAAGAUAAACAUCAUAUUCAUCCAUUGUCAUUAGGCCUGAAGAAGGGCAGUAAAUAGGUUAAAUGUUCAUAACAUCUUCAAAUAGUUGCUAAUAGUCUAGUAUGUUAGAUAGUCAGACUGGUUUCUAGUUAUCUGCUAUAGAGCACUGUGAAAAUAGGAAUUUAUCUUCAUCUGUUGUGACAAACUUGAUCCUUUUUUGUUGGUAUAGUAGUUUCUAUCAUACAGACUGGUAGAUAUUCAAGUGUAGUUUUCAUGAGAGGAAGAGUAGCGAGGCCUCAGUGUGGGAAAUGUGCAAUAUUUGUUUCUUUGUCUUGUUUUGAGAUGAAUAUGUAUAUUGUACAAACAAGUGACAAGUUGUUCGCAAAAACAACAAAAUCACCAAUGUCUUCCAUUAAAUGAUGUAUAGUUUCAUCUGCUUGCUUUAGGGUGGUGGGAUUUGUAGUGCCAGCGUAGACAUGGCCAUGCAUGUAAGGUAGCGAUGCUUGCUGAGUUUAAUAGUCGUAGUGACAUUCAGUAUAGGCUAUGAUAAAGUCAUUUAGAACAUAAAAUUAGGCAAAGAUUUAGUUAGGAACCACCAUAGAAGCAGUAUCCACACUUUGAUUGAUUUGAUUAACAUGCGAGUAGUAGGGCUGCACGAUUCUGGUUAAAAUGAGAACCACGAUUUGUUUUUCUUAAAAUCAAGAUUAUGACUUUCUCACAAUUCUGUAGAUGUAAAAUAAAGGUUAAUAUAAGUAGGCUGUUAUUAUUGUUAAUUCUCAAACAUAUCGUAAAACACCAAUAAUUAGGCCUAUGUAGGUCUACUGUUGUGUAUAGACCUGGAAUGGGGGACUGGUUUGUUCAUUCACAGAGCGAUUAUAUCAGAAUACAACUAUUCAUUACUCUCAAGUUGAAUUAUUACGAUUGAUGCAUAUGCUUGUCGUUUGUCAUUGACAGCAUUAUUAAACCAUUUUUUCCACUGGUAAAAUGAAACAUUUGUCAUUAACAGAUUACCUUUUGCAUUGUAUUCAACAUUAUAUAGGUAUAAUAGCUAUAAAAAAAAAACAUCAAAUGCUUGUCGUAAUCAUAACUCUAAAAUGCGAUAUAAGCAUUUAAAUGAUGUGUGCGCUUUCAGUUUCACUUUUCACUGCCGAGUGCGCUCGUGUCAUGGCAGCCGUCACUUUGAGUUCAGUUUGCAACAAACUGAACGUUAUUUACAAUUUUAUUACCCGUUGUUCACAGCCUAUGCAGGUUCUGUUCACUAAUGUAGACAUGAUUGGUGAGCAUGUGCCCAUCCGCUCAGUAGUAAACAAACAAAAAUUACAUUUUGGGGUGAAUUAUCCCUUAUACAUACUAGAGUUACACAGUUUACCGGUACUAUGGUAGUAUCGCGAUACUAUGGCUCCAAAAUACUUGCGGUGCCACUGUACUUUGUAAAUCAUAUUAUCAUCAUUAACAGUUUAUCAACAACACAAUGUUGCAUGUGGAAAAGUGGCUAAAAUGCUCACGUUUGUGCAAUAAUAGACCUUUUUAUUUGAAUAUUCUGUGGAGCCAUUUAAGGUUGCAAAACUGUGUAGAAUUCACACCUUUUAUUGUAACCUAUUGCAUGUUUUCUGAGGCUUUAAUUCGAACGCACAUCUGAAUCAGUUCAUAUCUGUUCCUGUCAAUAUGAUUUAAUAGCUUUCACAACCACAACAAUUUCUUAAAAAAGAAAACAACAAUAGAUGAAAAAAAAAACAAAGUAGCAACAGAAAACAUUGAAACUAUUUUUGACCUCUUCAUAUAGCCAAAUUCUGUUGGAAAAAUGCUGUUUUUGUAACAAAUUUUGUUCGGUAUAAUUUGUAUCUUUAUUUUAAAGUGUUUUUGUUGGCCAGUUAUCUACAAAAUAAACAAAAACAACUAAUGCAUUUUAUAUGAAGUGAUGUGCAAAUACUUUUUCAAUAAUAAGGGAAUUAUGAAUUAAAUUCAAGUAGGCAUAUUAUAACACAAAAUAUAGUAUUUCUGACAAUUUUCUUUAUUUCAUAGAUUUGAGUUUGAAUUACAGUAUCACCAUACUACUUGGUAUCAUGAUACUUCAGCUGGUAUAGUAUCAUAACGUGAAUUAAGGGUAUCACGACAACCCUAAUAAAUAUAGUAUGUGACACUUAACACCAUUUGGAGAUGUCCACGUUCCAACGUAUAUAAAACAGUGUGAAGAUUUGUGCGACUGCCUUUGCGCUUCUCUACUGACCUUGAAAAUAUAAGUGGCUGAAUCGUAGAAAAGCUGAAUUAAGAUUGUGUAGGGUCGAAUCAAGAUCUUAUAUCGAUUAAUCGUGCAGCCCUAGCGAGUAGGAAUUUACUCUUGGUUUGUUUUUAAGUGACAAACGUUGUAGUUUAUUCACUAUUAGUUGAUGAUAACUUCAUAGCAUGCUGAGGAUUAGUAAAAUGGCGGUUGGUAUUGAUGUGCGGCUAGCCAUGCUGAAAUGCAUAUAUGUUUCAUAAGCACUGUGUCAGUUUGUCCUAGUUUGUACUGUGCAAAAUGAAGUUCUGGGCCCAAAAUAGUCAACUCAGAUCAAAACGUCUAUCCCAAAUGGGCCAAAAUUUGGCUCAGUAGCUUAGAAGACAAGGUGUUGAAGAACGUCAUUCAAUACCUGUUUCAAGGUUACUAAAACUGUAACGGACAGAAAGAAUAGACUUCUCUCUUUCUGAUUAGAACUGUGUUUGUUUUCAUACCUCUAAUAUUGCAUUCUCCAUCAGGUAAUGUUGUCUCAAACUAGAGCUGUGGGUAGAUUAUUCCUAGUAGCAGAAAAUGUAGAUUUUAACCUAACAUGUAGAAAAUUAAGUGGCAUAAAGCAAUUAUCAAAGCAUUGUAAUGUAGAUAAAUACCUCAAUGACUGGAAUGCAAACUAUAUAUAUUUUUAAAUAUACUCAAAAAUAUGCAAGCCAUGAUGUGUAUUAAGUUCAUCUUUUAGAAGCAAUAAUCAGUUUAUGCAUGACUUAAAGUGUCAGAACAGUUUAGUGGUGUUUGUAUUAUCUGUAGCAUAUCUGUGACAGUGAUUAGUGUUUGAUCCUGAAUAUCUCAUUGCUCAUACCUAAAGGUUUUACAUUCCCCCGUAAUUCAUUGACACCAAUUAAAUAUGUUGAGAUAGCACUGGGGGUCUGACAAAUAGUGAAGAAUUUUUGGGUGGGUUGAAUAAAGUUAAAAGAAUCAUCUACAUAUGCAGAGCUUUUGCUCUUAUUGAAUUAGCAUGUUUACAUAAUCAUUGUGGAAAGCACAUAAGCUGUAUGUUUAUUGACAGCUUAUUAUCAUUAACAGCAAUAUGAGCAGUGUUCUGGGUAGCAAUUUGUAAUACUGAUGAUUCAUGAAUCCUGGACAAACAAUUUACCACUAUACAUUCACAAAACCCAUUUGGAGUUAAGUAUUUUUUAAAGAGUGCAAAAAAAUUGCUGAUGCAUGGUAGAAGUGGAUAAGAAAUGUUUUGUGCUGCAUGCAAUAAUUGAGCUUUGCUUGAAAACGUUUAUGCAGAAAUGUAAUGACACUAAAUCUAUGAGUGGACCAGUGUUGUGACUUCCUUUAAAUGCAUGGAAUCCCAAAGUUUCUCUCUACUGUAAAUUAUUCACAGAGGUGUUCAUUAAGAAAUGUUUGAUUACUGUAUGAUGGAAUUGUAACAAGUUUGUUUUUCAAGAGGCAAAGUCAGAUGCAGUGUGUUUUAGCAAAGUCUUAACAAUUGUAAGUUGAAAUGGGAAAAACUAUUUGAGUUAUGUUCAGUGCAAAUAAUAAUGCAGAAUAUAAGUUUAUAUGCAUUGCAGACUUGAUUUGCGUUGCUGAUUUUGCCUCUGAAUGUGAAACUCUAUGCUUAGUCUGAUCUAUGCACUACAGAAGCGCCCCGCAUGGUUUUGUACAAAAAUAUUAAAUUUUAGCAAUAAAAAAAGCAGCAUGGUGCCAAUCAUAAAA